GGAUGAUGGGGUGAUCUGGCUUUGUCAUUUGACAUCCUUUUGAUCACCAGGAUUAAUUUGACUAAUCUGGCUAUCUAGGCAGGUGUUUUAUUCCUCUUUCACCCAUUCCAUAUGUGUUCUCUGGCCCAAAGAUGUGUGCUUGACGGUAGAGUAGAGCUUUUUCUCACGAAAGAGGAGGAACAUUCCUUUUAUGAGUGUAUAUUAAUAGGUGUGGUCCCUAAAUAAACUGAGUGUGAGGCCAUUUGCUUCAUGUUCCUGCUUCUGUUUCUGCAUUGGAACUUGUGUAAACCUGGUUAAAAACAUUUAACAUCUUUGAAGCUCAGCUUCUUUA
rnacentral:snRNA from 1 species